rnacentral:rRNA from 1 species
UACGUAGGGUGCAAGCGUUGUCCGGAAUUAUUGGGCGUAAAGAGCUCGUAGGCGGUUUGUCGCGUCUGCUGUGAAAACCCGAGGCUCAACCUCGGGCCUGCAGUGGGUACGGGCAGACUAGAGUGCGGUAGGGGGAGAUUGGAAUUCCUGGUGGUAGCGGUGAAAUGCGCAGAUAUCAGGAGGAACACCGGUGGCGAAGGCGGGUCUCUGGGCCGAUACUGACGCUGAGGAGCGAAAGCGUGGGGAGCGAACAGG